GAGCAAUGGCUCCAGAUCCGCUAAUUCAGUGUUUGCAGAGACUUUACCACAAAUAAGAAUCCACUAUGUGUAAUGCGUGUCAUCUACCAUUCCUAUUACGAAGGUCUUUGUGCGCAAGGUCUGGGUUUUCGCCACUCUGAGUCCCCAGGGCCAGGUUCCUGUUGCAGCCUGGAGCCGGAAAAGAAUCUGGGAGGAAGAGGUUGGGUGUUGGGGCCAGCAGACUAGGGGACGACAGAUCCUGCCCUGCCACUCAUUUGCUGUGCAACUCUCAGCAAAGCACCCAACCUCUCCGAGCCCUCGCUUCCCCAUCUGUGAAGUGGGGAUCAUAAGGCCCAUCCUGCAAGGUGGUUUCCGCGGUGAAAAUAGAAAACGAGGCCUGUUCCUACAGCCUGUGUGUCUUGGGAGGAACUGCUCAUCAUCUGUGAUCCUUUUUUACCUGAUUACGGGAAAGGGGAGUGAUCUGCUCACUGACCCCCGGCUGGGCUUUUCCCUGCCAGUGAAAUCAUUUGAAAUUGUCCAAGGAAAUCAGGAACCUGAGCCGACGCAGAGUCACCGAGCUUGGUGCCAAGCACUGGGGGAGCUCCAGUUACAGAAAACAAGUGGAAUCCACAGGCCCCGGGCUGAACGUGGAACUAAUUUGGGAGGCAAUGAGAAAGAGCGGAACAUAACGCGGAGCCCGGGAGGCAGGUCUGCCCUGAGUCAGGACGCCAUCCGGGGGGGUAUCUGGGGCCCCUUGAAAUUUUCAAGGUCCUGCUUCUGAAGUGGGGAGAGCCGGGACAUGAUGGGGACCCACUUCGGAAUCUCAGGAUGGCUGUGCAGAGACUCAGGGCACGGGCCUGGGGUCGGAGCAACUGCAAUCACAUCCUGACUUGCCCCCUCGAUGCUGUGUGACCCGGGGCCUGUCGCUUCACCUCUCUGAGCCUCAGCUGCCGCAUCUGUGAAUGUACGAUCUAGGGAUCCCUCCCUCAGAGGGCUGCUUCAUAGAAGGCUCAGUACCAUGCCAGGCACGUAAGCCACUCUCAGGAAAUCAGACAUGUCGAGACAUGACAUCGGGGGUUGGGGGCAGCAUUAGAGGAGCAAAGACCAGUAACGUCUCCCCCAUUCAUCUGUUCGUUCAGCAGAUACUUAAGAACAUGCAACCUGUGCCAGACUGAGGAACACAGGAGGGAACAAGACAGACCUAGCCCCACGCAAAAGGAAACAAAUAGUGUGUACCUAAUUGCAAUCAUCGUUUGAAGGAUAAGAACAGGGUGCUUGGAUAAAAAAAUAACUGGGGCGGGCUAGGCAUGGUGGCUCACGCCUGUAAUCCCAGGACUUUGGGAGGCCGAGGUGGGCGGAUCACCUGAGGUCAGGAGCUCGAGACCAGCCUGGCCAACAUAGAAAAACCCCAUCUCUACUAAAAGAUACAAAAAUUAGCCAGGCAUGGUGGUGGGCACCUGUAGUCCCAGCUACUGGGGAGGCCAAGGUGGGAGGAUCGCUUGAACCUGGGAGGUGGAGGUUGCAGUGAGCUGAGACCGUGCCACUGCACUCCAGCCUGGGCAACAGAGUGAGACUCCGUCUCAAAAAAAAAAAAGAAAAGAAAAAGUAAAAGUAAAGAGACAAUGCACCCAAAAUUUGGAUAGAUGGAAGGAUAGAGGGAUGGAUAUGUGAUCACUCAAAUUUAGUAAAAUGUUAGUGAGUUGAUGUUGCUGUUUCAAAAUUUUCAUAAUAAAAUGUUGGGGGAAAGUAACAAAACCAAGAAGAAAAAGAGGUAGAAACAAAUUCUUUAACAGCUCUCUUUUCCUACGGAACACUGUCCAGGUGCUUAGCCGGGCAGCCAACACACAAAUCCUUGCCUCACGCCCCAAACUCACUCUAAGUGUGUAGCCCUGGGCACACCCUCAAACCUCUCCGAGGCUGCAGUCCUGGUCUCGUAGGAAGUGAGAGGCCAUCCUCCGGGAGAGGCAAGGCUGAGAUGCACACAGUUGUUUUCAGAGCAGCAAGGCCACUUCGGCAACACCCAGAGCUUAGGGAGGACGUGGUCAACCAGCCUUUACUGGGGCCUGGGAGACUCCCCACUGACACAAACUCCCUUCUGGUUUGCACUGGGGACGUUCAGUCCCUUGGGUUAUGCAUUCACUGGUCCAAUAGAUAUUUUCUGUGUGCCAGGCCCUGCACGGGGCACUGUAGUGUGAAGUCUGUCAGGUUCUUCCCUUUAAAGAACACCCCCAAGACACAGACAGAUCCAAUCCAGUGAGACACACACUCCGAGGGAGCCAACUCCAGCCUGGAUAGACGCCAAGCCCCACAGCCAGGCUUCAGACUGACUCCCGCCUCAGUCCGGAACCUCAGCACAGGAAGGACCCUCGUGUCAGGAUAUCCAGGCCCCGCCCCAGCCCAAUGGCCCCUGCCC
rnacentral:lncRNA from 10 species